rnacentral:rRNA from 1 species
CUACGGGUCGCAGCAGUGGGGAAUAUUGCACAAUGGGCGCAAGCCUGAUGCAGCCAUGCCGCGUGUAUGAAGAAGGCCUUCGGGUUGUAAAGUACUUUCAGCGGGGAGGAAGGGAGUAAAGUUAAUACCUUUGUUCAUUGACGUUACCCGCAGAAGAAGCACCGGCUAACUCCGUGCCAGCAGCCGCGGUAAUACGGAGGGUGCAAGCGUUAAUCGGAAUUACUGGGCGUAAAGCGCACGCAGGCGGUUUGUUAAGUCAGAUGUGAAAUCCCCGGGCUCAACCUGGGAACUGCAUCUGAUACUGGCAAGCUAGAGUCUCGUAGAGGGGGGUAGAAUUCCAGGUGUAGCGGUGAAAUGCGUAGAGAUCUGGAGGAAUACCGGCGGCGAAGGCGGCCCCCUGGACGAAGACUGACGCUCAGGUGCGAAAGCGUGGGGAGCAAACAGGAUUAGAUACCCGCGUAGUC